AGAGUUUGAUCAUGGCUCAGAACGUACGCUGGCGGCACGCCUAACACAUGCAAGUCGAACGAAGUAGCAAUACUUAGUGGCAGACGGGUGAGUAACAUGUAGGUAUCUGCCCUUUGGCCUGGAAUAACACGAGGAAACUUGUGCUAAUACCGGAUAAGUCUUUACGGAGAAAGCUUUAUGCACCAUUGGAUGAGCCUGCACUUGAUUAGUUUGUUGGUAGGGUAAUGGCCUACCAAGACUAUGAUCAAUAGCUGAUUUGAGAGGAUGAUCAGCCACAUUGGGACUGAGACACGGCCCAAACUCCUACGGGAGGCAGCAGUGGGGAAUCUUGCACAAUGGAGGAAACUCUGAUGCAGCGAUGCCGCGUGAGUGAAGAAGGCCCUUGGGGGGUAAAGCUCUUUCGUCG
rnacentral:rRNA from 1 species